AGUAAGAGGAGCUCUUGAAACCUAAAAUAUUUGGCGGUUUUUUAGGCUAGUUAGAGGAACCUGUUUAGUAAUCGAUGAUCCUCGUGAGAUUUUACUUUUGUUUUAAAUAUCGCCGUCGAAGACAGGUCAAGAUUUAGCUCGUAGAAAAGGUUGAAAGAGGAUUUAAAAGUAUAGAGAUAUUUUGAGCUCUGAAAGAUGU
rnacentral:rRNA from 1 species